UACGGAGGAUCCGAGCGUUAUCCGGAUUUAUUGGGUUUAAAGGGUGCGUAGGCGGCCUAUUAAGUCAGGGGUGAAAUACGGUGGCUCAACCAUCGCAGUGCCUUUGAUACUGAUGGGCUUGAAUCCAUUUGAAGUGGGCGGAAUAAGACAAGUAGCGGUGAAAUGCAUAGAUAUCUGGAGGAAUACCGGUGGCGAAGGCGGCCCCCUGGACAAAGACUGACGCUCAGGUGCGAAAGCGUGGGGAGCAAACAGG
rnacentral:rRNA from 1 species